rnacentral:rRNA from 1 species
UACGAAGGGGGCUAGCGUUGCACGGAAUCACUGGGCGUAAAGCGCACGUAGGCGGACUUUUAAGUCAGGGGUGAAAUCCUGGAGCUCAACUCCAGAACUGCCUUUGAUACUGGAAGUCUUGAGUUCGAGAGAGGUGAGUGGAACUGCGAGUGUAGAGGUGAAAUUCGUAGAUAUUCGCAAGAACACCAGUGGCGAAGGCGGCUCACUGGCUCGAUACUGACGCUGAGGUGCGAAAGCGUGGGGAGCAAACAGG